CUCGUAGGCGGUUUGUCACGUCGGGAGUGAAAACACGGGGCUUAACCCCGUGCCUGCUUCCGAUACGGGCAGACUAGAGGUAUGCAGGGGAGAACGGAAUUCCUGGUGUAGCGGUGAAAUGCGCAGAUAUCAGGAGGAACACCGGUGGCGAAGGCGGUUCUCUGGGCAUUACCUGACGCUGAGGAGCGAAAGUGUGGGGAGCGAACA
rnacentral:rRNA from 1 species